UAUCAAUAUUGAUUACUAUUUAAUUCAUAUUUUAAGUUAAGCUUUAUUAACCUUUCGUAGACAUUUAAAUAUAGUAGUCAUUUUGAAAUUUUGAAAUACAACACGUAGUUCAAAAUCUGUAAUGUUGAUUUGUAACCAUGCCGUCAAGUUUCUAGGUCAUUGAUUAAUGUUGCCAGAAAUGGUAGAAAUGCAACCAUACAAUUAAUGCAAUUGUGAUUUAUUUAAGAUGUCUGCCUUCCCCGCCGGAUAUUCAGAUCCGUCACAGUAUGGAUCGUCCUUUGCACCAUCCAUGCAACCUGGACAACCAGCAAGUUAUCCUCCUCCUGGACCUGCAAGUUAUCCUCCAGCUUAUCCUCCAGUUACAGGACAACCAAUGCAUGGACAGAUGCCGAUGCAAACUCAGUCUGUAAUCAUGAAUAACCAGACUAUAACCAUGCAAAUCGAUCCAGCUCAUGCGGCAUUGGUUGCUAAUAUGGCUCAAAUGAUAGAUCCGAAUAAUCCAGCGAGAAAUGAACAUCCGGUUCGCAUGAAAUGUCCGUCAUGCCACCUAGAAGUAACAACAGAAACUACAUACGUCGUCGGUAGUUGUACCUAUCUCUGCUGUAUUCUGUUCUUUUUAAGUGGACUUAUCUUAUGCUGCUGGUUGGCUUUCUUUAUGAAUAUGGCAAAAGACGUUGUUCACACUUGUCCGAGUUGUAAAGCUGAGUGUGGUAGAUUUGUCCGACAACAACAAAAUAGGGUUCACGCUUCUGGUGGUCGGGGGAGGAGGAGGAGAGGACGUAGGCGUUGAUCAACUUCAUGGUUAUUAUGGUCGGCGAAGACUUAGGCGAUGAUAAUUUUUAUAUCCUGUAACCAUUACAAAUAAUAUUUUAUCACAUUUUAUGUUCUUGGAAAUACCAUAGAGUAAUAUUACUCAGUGGCGUUAUAACAUAAACAUAAGUUCACAAGAGAGAUCAUUGCAUGUGUAUGGGUACUAAGUAUCUAAGGAAGCUGUAAUUGAAGUCGUUUAUUAUUUCCCUAAGACUUUUUAAUGUGCCAUUUGAAAAAUGCUUAAUUCAUGUUUCCCGGAAUGAAUGGCUGUAUUUCGAACAUGUUUAAACUUCCGUGUACCUGGUUGAAAUUUGGUACACCAAAUAGGCAAACGGUGGAGAAUAUUGAAUAGAUAACGGUGGUCAAAACGUCCGGACUCUUGAAUAUCGAUCGUAAGUCUUGACCACCUUUACAUACUCCUCGAAGAGAACCACUUUGUUAAAAUACUCCUUCAUGAGUAAUUGUCUUAAUGUGCCGAAUUAUAACCUUGAUGUAGGUAAUAUGUUUAUCACUUCAUUUGAGUGUGUUUAUCUUGUAUGUAAAAAUUAUACUGUAUGAUUCAUUUUUCAUCAUAAUUAAUGCAAAUUCCGUCCAAUCAAUUGAUUGAUUAAUUGUGAUUUUGAAUAAAUUGCGCGAGAGAAUCUUUGGACAUUCAUGAUUUAUAAUGUCAUUUAUUUACGGUGUUAACUUGUAUUUAUAUUGUAUUAGUUUAUGACAAGUAAUUGUUGUCAUAUAUUUCAAUUAUGAUUAUUCGCAAUAUUGACACUGCAAUUGAAUGUUCGGUAAUAUGAUCAGAUGCGGAUCCAGGAUUUUGUAAAAGAGGGGGGGGGGGGGGGGGGGCAAUCUAGAAAAAGUUUGGAGUGGAACAGAUAAAAAUUCUGGACUAACCAUAAAUGUAGCUCCAUAAGGGAGCACGACCCAGCCCCCUAAAUCCGCCUCUGAUGAUCCUCAAGGCGAGGGUGAACAAAGUGGAUAUAAUGGGGGUCAAUUAUUAACACGGAUAUUCCAAAUGGAUUGUUUCAUUUUGACAGGAAACAUAAAUCAUACGAUUUUUGUUUGUUUGAUGUUUUAUUUUUUUUUUAAACUGCAACAUCUAUGACUGCGCAUGUUCUCCAUGACAUCGUUAUACAAUUAUGUAAAUGUAAUAGUAUUCAGACUCAGGGGGUCAGACCUAUGUCAGACAAGUUUAUGGUUGUGUGUUUUUUUACAUAAAUUUGUAAAUUAAACUCUUCCUUAAAAUAUGUUCUAUUGUAUUGUAUUGCAUUGUAUUGUAUUUAAUUGUAUCAUUGUUUGUUUGUAUUGCUUGCCCCUUAUGGGUGUAAUUUUGCAAUAAAGAUAUAAUAUUCAGUUAAA